CGCCUCGUAGCUCAGCUGGUAGAGCGUGUGUGUGCAUUACGUAGGUGGGUGAGUGGGUUCGAAUCCCAUCAAGGCUA
rnacentral:tRNA from 1 species